rnacentral:tRNA from 1 species
GCGCCUAUAGCUCAAUUGGAUAGAGUACUUGCCUUCGAAGCAAGGGGUUCCAGGUUCGAGUCCUGGUAGGCGCG